UAGAGUCUUUUUUCCUUCCUAAAGUUAGUUAAAUACUUAGGAGAUUUUUAUCGAGUAUUUAAUAUUUACUAUAGGGUAUAGGGUUUUAUAAAUCCUCAUAGUGAUUAUGAACAUUUGUAAAAUUUGUAAAAUACAGUAAAUCAUUUUGGGUGCUUGUGUAAGCAUGAAUCAAACACAGCAGCUGUUGUCCUUAAAAUGCAUUGUCUUCAGCUUGACAGAUACAUUAAAAUAUUACAAAUAUUACCUAGCCUUGAAUAGGUAUUUGAGAUCCCAGGAAAAAUUGCCACAGUCAUAAUGACAGAAAGGAGUUGAUGUUCUUUUUCUUACCGCAGAGAAUCACUUUGAAUUACUUCUUCAAAAACAGUGCUCAUUUUUCAGGCCAACAACUGUUGCAUUUGAAUCAGAUAUAAAUAAUUGGUUUCCAAUGAAAACUUUUGAUUGUAGUAUGUUAUUUAAGCUGGUAUGUUUAUUUUUCUUGGGAAGAUAGCAUUAUCUUUUGGCUUUCAUUAUAAACUGAGUGUGUUCUGUUUGUGUUUAAAUGGCUUAGUUAUAAGCUGGAGGACUGUACUGGGGUAUUUUUGUCUAAAUGACUUCCUUUUAUUUGCUUGCCCACAUCCAUAACAGCAUGUGCCAUAUUGUUUCUGCUCACUGAUGAUAAGCUAUGAGACUUAUUACCACAUGGUGGCAAGCUGCAAAGACCAUUGACAAUGGGUCUCUGACUGUCACAUGGAUCUGCCAAUGUACACUGCAUAAUUUGUACCAUUAUGUAUAAUUUCUAUUUAGUUCAACUUAGAGGAUAAAGAAAUAAAUAUUUGUGAAACCC
rnacentral:lncRNA from 1 species